AUUGGGACCCAUGUUGCUUGGCCUGCACGUUGGGUAGUGAUGAAAAAUGAGUUCAAGAAAAUAAUUUACUCCAACGAAGAAAUUGACGAAGUGCGAUCCGAAUGGGCGGAUUGCGUACUAGACUAUAUUCAUUACUAGAUCAAUUUGCAGCUCCUGGCAACUUGUUACUUGCAAAAUGGAAA